rnacentral:rRNA from 1 species
AGAACGAACGCUGGCGGCAGGCUUAACACAUGCAAGUCGAACGCGUGUAGCAAUACACGAGUGGCGCACGGGUGAGUAACGCGUGGAUAUCUGCCUUUUGGUUCGGAAUAACCCCGGGAAACUGGGGCUAAUACCGGAUGGUUCCUACGGGAUAAAGAUUUAUCGCCAAAAGAUGAGUCCGCGUACGAUUAGCUAGUUGGUGAGGUAAUGGCUCACCAAGGCGACGAUCGUUAGCUGGUCUGAGAGGACGAUCAGCCACACUGGGACUGAGACACGGCCCAGACUCCUACGGGAGGCAGCAGUGGGGAAUAUUGGACAAUGGGGGCAACCCUGAUCCAGCCAUGCCGCGUGAGUGAUGAAGGCCUUCGGGUUGUAAGCUCGUUUUGGCGGGGACGAUGAUGACGGUACCGCAGAAUAAGCCCGGCUAACUUCGUGCCAGCAGCCGC